GUCCUCAUCCCCAGGCACCUCAGAUGUAUCCAUAUCCUGUAUCCAAUUCAGUGCCUGGGCAGCAGGGCAAGUACCGGGGAGCAAAAGGCUCCCUUCCUCCGCAGCGCUCGGACCAACACCAGCCAGCCUCAGCCCCGCCGAUGAUGCAGGCCGCCGCGGCUGCUGGCCCGCCUCUGGUGGCUGCCACGCCCUAUUCUUCCUACAUCCCCUACAACCCUCAGCAGUUCCCAGGCCAGCCGGCCAUGAUGCAGCCCAUGGCCCACUACCCCUCACAGCCGGUGUUUGCCCCCAUGCUUCAGAGCAACCCACGCAUGCUGACGUCGGGCAGCCAUCCCCAGGCCAUCGUGUCAUCCUCUACCCCUCAGUACCCUUCUGCAGAGCAGCCUACCCCCCAAGCCCUUUAUGGUGAGUCCUGCGCCUGGUCCCUCUGCUCUGGGCUGUGUGCCAGCCCCCUCUGAUGUGCUCAGCACUGGUUCUCCCUCUUUCCUGCUGCAGCCACUGUUCACCAGUCCUACCCACACCAUGCCACACAGCUCCAUGCCCACCAGCCGCAGCCAGCUACCACGCCUACUGGAAGCCAGCCGCAGUCCCAGCAUGCGGCCCCCAGUCCUGUCCAGGUGCCUGCCAUGGGGGGUGCUGAGUG
rnacentral:sRNA from 1 species